rnacentral:rRNA from 1 species
AUGGCCAAAUUCCAGAUUACACCGUUCCCUGGACUCGUGGAAAACACCGACUUUAACUUCGGUAGUUUUUACUUGUACAACAUUUUUAAUCCCCCGAGCUAUGCCAGCAUAAAAGAGAACAAUGCUACCUCUGGAUGGGGAGGGGCAGGCCUUGUCAACUGGCAAAUAUAUGAUGGCGAUGGCUCGGGCGCGAAGCUAGUCGGUCAUGCCCAAGGGAUGCAAAUCCAUGCUGGUGUAAAGCACCAAUCAUUCACCCUUGUGUUCGAGAAUGGAAGUUCUACAACUUAG